GCCAAGGGAAAGAUUAUAAAUAAAUUCAGAGGUGCUGAAUUCAUUUACUGUCAGGCUGUUUUGGCUUUUUCAAGUUCUAGUUCUUGUGUGGUUUCUGUGUGAGUGGAAGCUCCUGAUUUAGAUUCUGACUUACGGCAUCUUUUUUUGUUAAAGAAUUAAUUUUUUGAUGUGGACCACUUUUAAAGUCUUUACCGAAUUUGUUACAGUAUUGUUUCUGUUUUGUGUUUUGGCUUUUUGGACGUGAGGUGUGUGGGGUCUCAGCUCCCGGACCAGGGACGGAACCUGCAAUCUUUGCGUUGAAAGGUCUCCUCUUAACCUCGAGACCGCCAGGGACGUCCUCGGUUAGUUCUCAAGGUUGUAAUUGAAAGAUGCUGACCAGGGCGUGCGCAGGCCAUUAACAGAGGAAGCUGGAAAUGAGACAUCCUGUCUGAUGCAACCGUCCGGACACCCAAUAUGGUUGACCGUGACACCCAACUGCCUAUAAUUAGAGUGAUUACUAGUCUCCUGAUGAGGGAUGGAAACUACAGCCCAGCGCUGGAAGCAUGGAGUCUUAACCACUGGACAGCCAGGGACGUCCCAGCUUCGUUUCUUGGUUGACAUGAAGAUGGCAUGUU
ensembl:lncRNA